rnacentral:rRNA from 1 species
CCAGCAGCCGCGGUAAUACGUAGGGUGCAAGCGUUGUCCGGAUUUAUUGGGCGUAAAGAGCUCGUAGGCGGUUAGUCACGUCGGAUGUGAAAACCCAGUGCUUAACACUGGGCCUGCAUUCGAUACGGGCUGACUAGAGUGUUGUAGGGGAGACUGGAACUCCUGGUGUAGCGGUGAAAUGCGCAGAUAUCAGGAAGAACACCGGUGGCGAAGGCGGGUCUCUGGGCAACUACUGACGCUGAGGAGCGAAAGCGUGGGGAGCAAACACGAUUAGAUACCCUGGUAGUCCACGCCGUAAACGGUGGGCGCUAGGUGUGGGGAACAUUCCCGUUUUCCGUCCGCAGCUAAAGCAUUAAGCGCCCCGCCUGGGGAGUACGGCCGCAAGGCUAAAACUCAAAGGAAUUGACGGGGGCCCCCCCAAGCGGCGGAGCAUGCGGCUUAAUUCGAUGCAACGCGAAGAACCUUACCUAGGCUUGACAGUUGGGGAAAUCUGGCAGAGAUGCCAGGUCCGUAAGGGCCCCAAAACAGGUGGUGCAUGGCUGUCGUCAGCUCGUGUCGUGAGAUGUUGGGUUAAGUCCCGCAACGAGCGCAACCCUCGUCGUAUGUUGCCAGCGGAUAAUGCCGGGGACUCAUACGAGACUGCCGGGGUCAACUCGGAGGAAGGUGGGGACGACGUCAAGUCAUCAUGCCCCUUAUGUCUAGGGCUGCACGCAUGCUACAAUGGCCGGUACAGAGGGCUGCGAUACCGCGAGGUGGAGCGAAUCCCAAAAAGCCGGUCUCAGUUCGGAUUGGGUCUGCAACUCGACCCCAUGAAGUCGGAGUCGCUAGUAAUCGCAGAUCAGCAACGCUGCGGUGAAUACGUUCCCGGGCCUUGUACACACCGCCCGUCACGUCACGAAAGUCGGCAACACCCGAAGCCGGUGGCCUAACCCUUGUGGGAGGAGCCGUCGAAGGUGGGGCUGGUGAUUGGGACGAAGUCGUAACAAGGUAGCCGAU